AGAUUGAACGCUGGCGGCAGGCCUAACACAUGCAAGUCGAACGGUAACAGGAAGAAGCUUGCUUCUUUGCUGACGAGUGGCGGACGGGUGAGUAAUGUCUGGGAAACUGCCUGAUGGAGGGGGAUAACUACUGGAAACGGUAGCUAAUACCGCAUAACGUCGCAAGACCAAAGAGGGGGACCUUCGGGCCUCUUGCCAUCGGAUGUGCCCAGAUGGGAUUAGCUUGUUGGUGGGGUAACGGCUCACCAAGGCGACGAUCCCUAGCUGGUCUGAGAGGAUGACCAGCCACACUGGAACUGAGACACGGUCCAGACUCCUACGGGAGGCAGCAGUGGGGAAUAUUGCACAAUGGGCGCAAGCCUGAUGCAGCCAUGCCGCGUGUAUGAAGAAGGCCUUCGGGUUGUAAAGUACUUUCAGCGGGGAGGAAGGGAGUAAAGUUAAUACCUUUGCUCAUUGACGUUACCCGCAGAAGAAGCACCGGCUAACUCCGUGCCAGCAGCCGCGGUAAUACGGAGGGUGCAAGCGUUAAUCGGAAUUACUGGGCGUAAAGCGCACGCAGGCGGUUUGUUAAGUCAGAUGUGAAAUCCCCGGGCUCAACCUGGGAACUGCAUCUGAUACUGGCAAGCUUGAGUCUCGUAGAGGGGGGUAGAAUUCCAGGUGUAGCGGUGAAAUGCGUAGAGAUCUGGAGGAAUACCGGUGGCGAAGGCGGCCCCCUGGACGAAGACUGACGCUCAGGUGCGAAAGCGUGGGGAGCAAACAGGAUUAGAUACCCUGGUAGUCCACGCCGUAAACGAUGUCGACUUGGAGGUUGUGCCCUUGAGGCGUGGCUUCCGGAGCUAACGCGUUAAGUCGACCGCCUGGGGAGUACGGCCGCAAGGUUAAAACUCAAAUGAAUUGACGGGGGCCCGCACAAGCGGUGGAGCAUGUGGUUUAAUUCGAUGCAACGCGAAGAACCUUACCUGGUCUUGACAUCCACGGAAGUUUUCAGAGAUGAGAAUGUGCCUUCGGGAACCGUGAGACAGGUGCUGCAUGGCUGUCGUCAGCUCGUGUUGUGAAAUGUUGGGUUAAGUCCCGCAACGAGCGCAACCCUUAUCCUUUGUUGCCAGCGGUCCGGCCGGGAACUCAAAGGAGACUGCCAGUGAUAAACUGGAGGAAGGUGGGGAUGACGUCAAGUCAUCAUGGCCCUUACGACCAGGGCUACACACGUGCUACAAUGGCGCAUACAAAGAGAAGCGACCUCGCGAGAGCAAGCGGACCUCAUAAAGUGCGUCGUAGUCCGGAUUGGAGUCUGCAACUCGACUCCAUGAAGUCGGAAUCGCUAGUAAUCGUGGAUCAGAAUGCCACGGUGAAUACGUUCCCGGGCCUUGUACACACCGCCCGUCACACCAUGGGAGUGGGUUGCAAAAGAAGUAGGUAGCUUAACCUUCGGGAGGGCGCUUACCACUUUGUGAUUCAUGACUGGGGUGAAGUCGUAACAAGGUAACCGUAGGGGAACCUGCGGUUGGAUCACCU
rnacentral:rRNA from 1 species